AUGAGAAGAAUGAAAAACAAACAAGCAAAGACAAAAUUAAGUCAGCAGCCCUCAAAUGGUGGAAAGGGGUGGUGGCCAGAAGCGCCUAAUAAUUUGACUCACUAAGUGAAGGUGGCAGGAAACACUGUAGGAAGGACCAAAGCUUCCCAGGAUGCUGGACCUGCACUGGAGCAAGGAGGCACCACAGAGCUUCAUACAGAGAGGCAUUGUGGGAGACUCCAGUGCUGGGUCCUUCCAACCCUCUUCAUGGCUAAGGGGGAAGCUGAAAUCUUUCAUUUCUUGGGUUUAUGAGGAGCCAAAAAUUAAGAGGCCUCCCAAAGAUUCUGAAGCACAAUAAUGGCCAUAAGUUGCUUAAGGGCAUCUGAUACAAGAAACUCUGUCUGCUGGUUUCAUGCUAUACACCAUUAAAAUAAUAAUAGCUGGCUUUGUACUGGGCUCUUCUAGAAAUAAAAGCUGUCAUAGACCUUAA